rnacentral:rRNA from 1 species
AGAGAACGCUGGCGGUAGGCCUAACACAUGCAAGUCGAACGGCAGCACAGUAAGAGCUUGCUCUUACGGGUGGCGAGUGGCGGACGGGUGAGGAAUACAUCGGAAUCUACUUUUUCGUGGGGGAUAACGUAGGGAAACUUACGCUAAUACCGCAUACGACCUACGGGUGAAAGCAGGGGAUCUUCGGACCUUGCGCGAUUGAAUGAGCCGAUGUCGGAUUAGCUAGUUGGCGGGGUAAAGGCCCACCAAGGCGACGAUCCGUAGCUGGUCUGAGAGGAUGAUCAGCCACACUGGAACUGAGACACGGUCCAGACUCCUACGGGAGGCAGCAGUGGGGAAUAUUGGACAAUGGGCGCAAGCCUGAUCCAGCCAUACCGCGUGGGUGAAGAAGGCCUUCGGGUUGUAAAGCCCUUUUGUUGGGAAAGAAAAGCAGCAGGUUAAUACCCCGCAGUUCUGACGGUACCCAAGGAAUAAGCACCGGCUAACUUCGUG